rnacentral:lncRNA from 1 species
UUUCCUUUGUUUUGAUUGGUUUAAAAAUACUUUUAGGCAUUUAAAAUUUUUUAAAAAAUUAUUUUAUGUUUGUUAUUUUAUUUCUAACCUUCCAUAAUUUUCUUGGCCAUUUAUUUGGUAUUUUGAAGGACUUUAUGGAUUUUCUCUUUUAUUUCCCUUUUAAAAUUCAUUUUAAAAAUAUUUUUGAUGUAUUUUAUUUUAUUUUAUUUUAUUACAUUCUAUAUUUGUUGGACCUUGG